CUUGGGACACAUUCCUAAAAUGUUGUCCCCGACUGGUAACACCUGGAGUGCUCCCAAGGAGUUUUCUGUUUAUGGAAUGAGGGAGCCUGAACAGGAAUGGACUCACCUGGGAACCUUUCUGUAUGAAAAGGACCAAAAUCCGCUUCAGACCUUUGCGCUACAGAGCCACAGAGGAGCGGCUUUUAGGUCCAUAAAGUUACAGAUCAGCAGCAAAUGGGGCCAUCGGCAGUAUACCUGUCUCUAUAAUUUCAGAGUUCACGGAAAGAUUG